GCAAAGUAUCAGUUCCUAGAAGUCCUAUUGUAAAUGUUUAACAUAUCCGUGGCUGAAAUAAUUAUUAGUAGUACCCAGAAGCCCACAGAAAUUCACAGGACUUACAAUACUUCAUUUUUAUUUUUAUUUUUAUUUCAUUUUGAUGGUUUCAUCUUAUGGUUUGGGUGACCAUGCUUGAAGUGGUUCAAGCAAAUUGCAAUAUUUUGCAAUAUUGCACAGUGGUAACAUUGUGGGGAGCAGUGGUUACUCAUAUCCAAACAGACUGUACCAGGAAGCAGGAAAUUUCAUUUGUGUGACUGGCAAAACCAUAUAUGUCUGUGAAUGACAUGAACAUUAUUAACCAUAAUUCCUGAAACAUCCUUUGCAACUUUACAUUAUGUUCACUUUCAGAUACAGUAACAAGCCUAUCAUUAUCAACAGCUGUAAGUGACACUGGUGCUGUAAACCUAUUUAGUACAAGGGGAAAUCUCCUCCACUGUGCUUUCUUUCAACUUCAAAUCAUUUUUCACUAUAAUGGUAUGAGAUAAUUUUGCAUUCUUCAUUGAAUAUGUGCACACAAAUGGCACUGAACUGCUGCUGUAGAUAAUUAGGGUAAAUCUUUUCUCCAGUUAAUUCACAGGUUAUGGGCAUGACUUUCUCCUUAUUAUUAAAACAGAAAACAGAUCAAACUGAGCUAGUAGCAUGAGUCUCUGUAUUUAAGUCUCAGUUAAUAAGAGGGUCCUUAACAAAGCCCUCCUCUCUGAACCCUCCCACUGCAUUCACUUGCAAAUCACUGUAUGGCUGGCAAAGCUGGUCCCCCCCACGCCCCCCCCAGCCCCAAACCUCCUCGUCUUGAGCACUGCAGCUCUAUCAGCAGCAACAUCUCUCUCAGUGAGGGACGAUUCUUAUUAAUCAGGGGCACUGAAUGGAAACCAAUCAGAUAGAGAGUCCCUUUGGCUUCAGCUCCCUGGCUGCCUGAGUUAAAAGUGAUGCUGGGAGAGAGGCAGCCCUAGCAAGCACACACAGCACUGGAGAUACAGUACGAGGCAGAAGGGAAGAAGCAGGUAGAGAAGCAGCACUGGACGGACAGAGACAGGCUCACGCUGGCAGACACGAUCCAUGUUCAGAGUGCUUCAGGUUUUCACCAUGUUCACACUUGUUUGCAGAAGUGACCAUUCCAAAAGUGUCCUCCUCUCCAGACAGCAGCUCACUUAGCUCAUUUGGGGGAUCUCAACUGGCUGCUGCUCUGUUGCACCCAGCAAGGUUGGGCUGGCAGAUGAACCAAAAUAUUGAACUAUUAUCCUUUCCCCCCCCAUCUUCUCCUAAUUUUGUGAACUCUUCUGGAAAUGCAGCAAGACCUUAA
rnacentral:lncRNA from 1 species